CAGUCGCCGCGGGAAUACGUAGGUGGCAAGCGUUGUCCGGAAUUAUUGGGCGUAAAGGGCUCGCAGGCGGUUUCUUAAGUCUGAUGUGAAGGCCCCCGGCUCAACCGGGGAGGGUCAUUGGAAACUGGGAAACUUGAGUGCAGAAGAGGAGAGUGGAAUUCCACGCGUAGCGGUGAAAUGCGUAGAGAUGUGGAGGAACACCAGUGGCGAAGGCGACUCUCUGGUCUGUAACUGACGCUGAGGAGCGAAAGCGUGGGGAGCGAACAGGAUUAGAUACCCCUGUAGUCCCUGUCUCUUAUAC
rnacentral:rRNA from 1 species